rnacentral:rRNA from 1 species
GACGAACGCUGGCGGCGUGCCUAAUACAUGCAAGUUGAGCGCUGAAGGUUGGUACUUGUACCGACUGGAUGAGCAGCGAACGGGUGAGUAACGCGUGGGGAAUCUGCCUUUGAGCGGGGGACAACAUUUGGAAACGAAUGCUAAUACCGCAUAAAAACUUUAAACACAAGUUUUAAGUUUGAAAGAUGCAAUUGCAUCACUCAAAGAUGAUCCCGCGUUGUAUUAGCUAGUUGGUGAGGUAAAGGCUCACCAAGGCGAUGAUACAUAGCCGACCUGAGAGGGUGAUCGGCCACAUUGGGACUGAGACACGGCCCAAACUCCUACGGGAGGCAGCAGUAGGGAAUCUUCGGCAAUGGACGAAAGUCUGACCGAGCAACGCCGCGUGAGUGAAGAAGGUUUUCGGAUCGUAAAACUCUGUUGGUAGAGAAGAACGUUGGUGAGAGUGGAAAGCUCAUCAAGUGACGGUAACUACCCAGAAAGGGACGGCUAACUACUUG